CCUACGGGGGGCAGCAGUGAGGAAUAUUGGUCAAUGGGCGAGAGCCUGAACCAGCCAAGUCGCGUGAGUGAAGAAGUAUUUCGGUAUGUAAAGCUCUGUCAGCAGGGAAGAAAAUGACGGUACCUGACCAAGAAGCCCCGGCUAACUACGUGCCAGCAGCCGCGGUAAUACGUAGGGGGCAAGCGUUAUCCGGAUUUACUGGGUGUAAAGGGAGCGUAGACGGCAGGGCAAGUCUGGAGUGAAAGGCGGGGGCUCAACCCCCGGACUGCUCUGGAAACUGCCAGGCUGGAGUGCAGGAGAGGUAAGUGGAAUUCCUAGUGUAGCGGUGAAAUGCGUAGAUAUUAGGAGGAACACCAGUGGCGAAGGCGGCUUACUGGACUGUAACUGACGUUGAGGCUCGAAAGCGUGGGGAGCAAACAGGAUUAGAUACCCCGGUAGUC
rnacentral:rRNA from 1 species